UACGAAGGGGGCUAGCGUUACUCGGAAUCACUGGGCGUAAAGCGCACGUAGGCGGCUUUUUAAGUCAGAGGUGAAAUCCUGGAGCUCAACUCCAGAACUGCCUUUGAUACUGGAGAGCUUGAGUCCGGGAGAGGUGAGUGGAACUGCGAGUGUAGAGGUGAAAUUCGUAGAUAUUCGCAAGAACACCAGUGGCGAAGGCGGCUCACUGGCCCGGUACUGACGCUGAGGUGCGAAAGCGUGGGGAGCAAACAGGG
rnacentral:rRNA from 1 species